rnacentral:lncRNA from 1 species
CCCAGCAGAGGACAUGGCCUUGGAGCUAAAUAAAGGCAGGCCCGUCUUAGAGGGGAUCCCUGGGGGGAAAGAGACGAGCAUAGGUUCCUCCCAAGAUGCCACCCGCUUCAUUCAAGUGUCUGGCAGCACUGUGUUCCUGUUAGAGCCACCAGCACAAGCACCAGACGAUGCUGAUCCAGGUGAAGGCCCCAGUGCAGCAGCAACAGCACAUGAUGGAGACGAUGAUGAGGAGGAGACCAUCUCUCUGGAUUCCAGAGCAUGAGGUAUCAUGUUAAGACUGUGAAAGUCUAUUUACUCUACAAUGGUGAGGAGUCCUCAUCAAAAUCUAAAAAUCUAAUUUCUUUUACAGACCCAGAUGCUAUACAGUGGGAAAACCAGCCUGGCAACAUAGUGCGUAUUAAUAAAAGGACACCACAUCCUGCCAAAUUCCAGCUGCGCUAAUUGUAUUGUGUUCACCGAGCUCACAAGCUAUCAGAAAGUUGUAUGGCAACCACCUCCGUCGCCAAAUAGAACUGGCAGACAUAGACAUUCAGUACAAGAAGAAAAAAGAUGGAAAUCUUGCACUGGAGUUCGAAUAAAAAAGAGGACAAUUAGGAAACUGGACCUUGAAAUAAAAAAACUUGAGAGGGAGGUGAGAUAUUGCCUUCAAUGUACACUGUAUGCUAACUGUCCACAAUGUAUUAAUCAUUAUUUUCUUUCCUCCCCCAGCUCAACGAAGAUGACACAGCUCAAAAUAAAAAUUAGGUAUAUUCUCGUAAAGUCAAGUGAGCCAUGACAUAUGACUCUUAUUGUGGCACACAGGACGGGGCAUCUUUCUAAGGUAUUUUUAUUUUCCCAGCAAUCAGUACAACCAAGUCAUCGUUAUAAGGCAUCGCCCUCUUUUGCCCACCCCCCCAGCACCAGGUGUGGCCACUAGCCUAUAUGAAGGCCCAAAAUUGUGUGUUCCUUUCUGCUCUGACAAUGGCAUGCCCAUUCGUGCGAGAUGUGGUGGAUGAAGAAGCACUUGUGCUGAGGG